rnacentral:rRNA from 1 species
GUAUGCAAUCUACCUUUUACAGAGGGAUAGCCCAGAGAAAUUUGGAUUAAUACCUCAUAGUAUUAUUGAAUGGCAUCAUUUAAUAAUUAAAGUCACAACGGUAAAAGAUGAGCAUGCGUCCCAUUAGCUAGUUGGUAAGGUAACGGCUUACCAAGGCAACGAUGGGUAGGGGUCCUGAGAGGGAGAUCCCCCACACUGGUACUGAGACACGGACCAGACUCCUACGGGAGGCAGCAGUGAGGAAUAUUGGUCAAUGGGCGCAAGCCUGAACCAGCCAUGCCGCGUGCAGGAUGACGGUCCUAUGGAUUGUAAACUGCUUUUGUACAGGAAGAAACAGUUCUACGUGUAGAACCUUGACGGUACUGUAAGAAUAAGGAUCGGCUAACUCCGUGCCAGCAGCCGCGGUAAUACGGAGGAUCCAAGCGUUAUCCGGAAUCAUUGGGUUUAAAGGGUCCGUAGGCGGUUUUGUAAGUCAGUGGUGAAAGCCCAUCGCUCAACGGUGGAACGGCCAUUGAUACUGCAAGACUUGAAUUAUUGGGAAGUAACUAGAAUAUGUAGUGUAGCGGUGAAAUGCUUAGAGAUUACAUGGAAUACCAAUUGCGAAGGCAGGUUACUACCAAUAUAUUGACGCUGAUGGACGAAAGCGUGGGGAGCGAACAGGAUUAGAUACCCUGGUAGUCCACGCCGUAAACGAUGGAUACUAGCUGUUCGGAGCAAUCUGAGUGGCUAAGCGAAAGUGAUAAGUAUCCCACCUGGGGAGUACGUUCGCAAGAAUGAAACUCAAAGGAAUUGACGGGGGCCCGCACAAGCGGUGGAGCAUGUGGUUUAAUUCGAUG